rnacentral:rRNA from 1 species
GGGUUGUGAGGUUAAGCGACUAAGCGUACACGGUGGAUGCCCUGGCAGUCAGAGGCGAUGAAGGACGUGCUAAUCUGCGAUAAGCGCCGGUAAGGUGAUAUGAACCGUUAUAACCGGCGAUUUCCGAAUGGGGAAACCCAGUGUGACUCGUCACACUAUCAUUAACUGAAUCCAUAGGUUAAUGAGGCGAACCGGGGGAACUGAAACAUCUAAGUACCCCGAGGAAAAGAAAUCAACCGAGAUUCCCCCAGUAGCGGCGAGCGAACGGGGAGGAGCCCAGAGCCUGAAUCAGCAUGUGUGUUAGUGGAAGCGUCUGGAAAGGCGCGCGAUACAGGGUGACAGCCCCGUACACAAAAGCGCAUAUGCUGUGAGCUCGAUGAGUAGGGCGGGACACGUGGUAUCCUGUCUGAAUAUGGGGGGACCAUCCUCCAAGGCUAAAUACUCCUGACUGACCGAUAGUGAACCAGUACCGUGAGGGAAAGGCGAAAAGAACCCCGGCGAGGGGAGUGAAAAAGAACCUGAAACCGUGUACGUACAAGCAGUGGGAGCCCCACCACUAAGCCAGUGGUGAACUCCACAUACGCAUCCUUUGCUGAGGAUACGGUUAACGGAGCGAAAGCGACGUUCAACCGCAAAAGAAGCAGAGGGGGCUUAGUGGUGGGGUGACUGCGUACCUUUUGUAUAAUGGGUCAGCGACUUAUAUUCUGUAGCAAGGUUAACCGUAUAGGGGAGCCGGAGGGAAACCGAGUCUUAACCGGGCGUUAAGUUGCAGGGUAUAGACCCGAAACCCGGUGAUCUAGCCAUGGGCAGGUUGAAGGUUGGGUAACACUAACUGGAGGACCGAACCGACUAAUGUUGAAAAAUUAGCGGAUGACCUGUGGCUGGGGGUGAAAGGCCAAUCAAACCGGGAGAUAGCUGGUUCUCCCCGAAAGCUAUUUAGGUAGCGCCUCGUGAAUUCAUCUCCGGGGGUAGAGCACUGUUUCGGCUAGGGGGCCAUCCCGGCUUACCAACCCGAUGCAAACUGCGAAUACCGGAGAAUGUUAUCACGGGAGACACACGGCGGGUGCUAACGUCCGUCGUGAAGAGGGAAACAACCCAGACCGCCAGCUAAGGUCCCAAAGUCAUGGUUAAGUGGGAAACGAUGUGGGAAGGCCCAGACAGCCAGGAUGUUGGCUUAGAAGCAGCCAUCAUUUAAAGAAAGCGUAAUAGCUCACUGGUCGAGUCGGCCUGCGCGGAAGAUGUAACGGGGCUAAACCAUG